AUUGAACGCUGGCGGCAGGCUUAACACAUGCAAGUCGAGCGGGGUGAUGGUGCUUGCACUAUCACUUAGCGGCGGACGGGUGGGUAAUGCUUAGGAAUCUGCCUAUUAGUGGGGGACAACGUCUCGAAAGGGAUGCUAAUACCGCAUACGUCCUACGGGAGAAAGCAGGGGAUCACUUGUGACCUUGCGCUAAUAGAUGAGCCUGAGUCUGAUUAGCUAGUUGGUGGGGUAAAGGCCUACCAAGGCGACGAUCUGUAGCGGGUCUGAGAGGAUGAGCCGCCACACUGGGACUGAGACACGGCCAAGACUCCUACGGGAGGCAGCAGUGGGGAAUAUUGGACAAUGGGGGGAACCCUGAUCCAGCCAUGCCGCGUGUGUGAAGAAGGCCUUAUGGUUGUAAAGCACUUUAAGCGAGGAGGAGGCUCUUUUGGUUAAUACCCAAGAUGAGUGGACGUUACUCGCAGAAUAAGCACCGGCUAACUCUGUGCCAGCCGCCGCGGUAA
rnacentral:rRNA from 1 species